CACAUGCAAGUCGAACGAUGAACCUGGAGCUUGCUCUAGGGAAUUAGUGGCGAACGGGUGAGUAACACGAUGAGUAACCUGCCCUUGACUCUGGGAUAACCUCCGGAAACGGAAGCUAAUACCGGAUAUGACGCACGGAGGCAUCUCCUGUGCGUGGAAAGAAUUUCGGUCAAGGAUGGACUCGCGGCCUAUCAGGUAGUUGGUGAGGUAACGGCUCACCAAGCCUACGACGGGUAGCCGGCCUGAGAGGGUGACCGGCCACACUGGGACUGAGACACGGCCCAGACUCCUACGGGAGGCAGCAGUGGGGAAUAUUGCACAAUGGGCGCAAGCCUGAUGCAGCAACGCCGCGUGAGGGAUGACGGCCUUCGGGUUGUAAACCUCUUUUAGUAGGGAAGAAGCGAAAGUGACGGUACCUGCAGAAAAAGCACCGGCUAACUACGUGCCAGCAGCCGCGGUAAUACGUAGGGUGCGAGCGUUGUCCGGAAUUAUUGGGCGUAAAGAGCUCGUAGGCGGUCUGUCGCGUCUGCUGUGAAAACCCGAGGCUCAACCUCGGGCCUGCAGUGGGUACGGGCAGACUAGAGUGCGGUAGGGGAGAAUGGAAUUCCUGGUGUAGCGGUGGAAUGCGCAGAUAUCAGGAGGAACACCGAUGGCGAAGGCCAGUUCUCUGGGCCGUAA
rnacentral:rRNA from 1 species